AAAGAUUUUUUAUCUUGCUAAUUUAUAUAAAUGAGAAAGAAUUAUGUUUGGAAAAUAAUUUAUUAAGGUGGGUUAAAAGUAAUUAUUAAUGAAUUAAAAUUAUAGUGGCUAUAGAGGAAAGUACUGUAAAGGAAGGGUUUAAUAAAUAAAAGAGAAAGUAGAAAUUUAGUUUUGUACCUUGUGUAUCAGGGGUAAUCUAUAUAAUAUUAAAUAUUAUUAAGGGUCUCGAAAUAAAAAUAGCUAAUUUUAUAAAGGAGUUUUUGUAGCAUAAAAAUUUUUAAUGUAAAAUUAGAAAUGAAAUGUUAAUCGAGUUUUAUGAUAUCUAGUUCUUUAAGAAAUAAAUAUAAUUUAGUUUUUAUAAAUAAUAAAAUAUAAAAGGAAAAGAUAGAAGGGAAAAGCUUUUUAUUUAAAAAAUAGCUGAAUAAAACAUAUGGGUUUAUCUAAGCUUAGAAGUAGCUAUGUUAAUAAAGUGUUUUAAUUAAAGAUUAAUGUAAUAUUAUUUUUAUAAGGCUUUAAUAAAAGGGAGUAUUAAGGAUUUGUUAAGAAUUAAUUAUAAUAAGGUAAAAUGAUUUUAUUAGUAGAAUUUAUUAUGUUAAGGAAAAGAAUUAACUAAUAGGGGGUUUGUAAAGAUGGAAUGGUAGUAUAAAGGAAUUCGGCAAAAAAAUUCUUUGCCUGUUUAUCAAAAACAUGUCUGUUUGGAGUUAUAAGGAGUCUAACCUGCCCACUGAUUAAGAAAUUAAAGGGCCGCAGUAUUAUAACUGUGCAAAGGUAGCAUAAUCAUUAGGUUCUUAAUUAGAAUCUUGAAUGAAUGGUUGGACAAAGGGAAUACUGUCUUUAUAUUAAUUUUGAAUUUAACUUUUGAGUGAAAAGGCUUAAAUAUUCUAAAGGGACGAUAAGACCCUAUAAAACUUUAUAUUAAGAUUGAAUUUUAGUUAAAUUUAAUUAUAAAAAUUUAAUUUAAUUAUUUGUUAUGUUGGGGAGAUAUAGGUAAAAUUUUUGUUAACUGCUUAUUGAUUAGACAUUUACGGAUGGGUAGUAAUAGAUCCUUGUUAAAGAUUAUUGAAUUAAGUUACUUUAGGGAUAACAGCGUUAUUUUUUUUGAGAGUUCAUAUCGAAAAAAAAGGUUGCGACCUCGAUGUUGAAUUAAAAUAUCUAUAUAAUGAAGCGGUUGUAUAGGAAGGUCUGUUCGACCUUUAAAAUUUUACAUGAUUUGAGUUCAAACCGGCGUGAGCCAGGUUGGUUUCUAUCUUUUAGGUUAAAAGAGUUAUUUUAGUACGAAAGGAGUAAAUAAUUAAAAUAAUUUUA
rnacentral:rRNA from 1 species